rnacentral:rRNA from 1 species
CCUACGGGAGGCAGCAGUAAGGAAUAUUGGUCAAUGGGCGGAAGCCUGAACCAGCCAUGCCGCGUGCAGGAAGACGGCCCUACGGGUUGUAAACUGCUUUUAUACGGGAAUAAACCUCGAUACGUGUAUCGAGCUGAAUGUACUGUAAGAAUAAGGAUCGGCUAACUCCGUGCCAGCAGCCGCGGUAAUACGGAGGAUCCAAGCGUUAUCCGGAUUUAUUGGGUUUAAAGGGUGCGUAGGUGGCCUGUUAAGUCAGGGGUGAAAGACGGUAGCUUAACUAUCGCAGUGCCCUUGAUACUGAUGGGCUUGAAUAAACUAGAGGUAGGCGGAAUGUGACAAGUAGCGGUGAAAUGCAUAGAUAUGUCACAGAACACCAAUUGCGAAGGCAGCUUACUAUGGUUUUAUUGACACUGAGGCACGAAAGCGUGGGGAUCAAACAGGAUUAGAUACCCUGGUAGUCCACGCCCUAAACGAUGAAUACUCGAUGUUGGUCGGUAGUACGGUCGUAGCGUCGUACGACGAACGACGUUAAGUUAUUACCUACCGUCGGGUAGGUACGGCCCGGCCGACGGGUAGGAACGUACGAAAGGAAGUUAGUACGGCGUGAGACGUCGCCGACGGACGACGACCGAGGGAGGUUAGG